rnacentral:rRNA from 1 species
CAAUAGCGUAUAUUAAAGUUGUUGCGGUUAAAAAGCUCGUAGUUGGAUUUCUGCCGAGGACGACCGGUCCGCCCUCCGGGUGAGUAUCUGGUUUGGCCUGGGCAUCUUCUUGGAGAACGUAGCUGCACUUGACUGUGUGGUGCGGUGUCCAGGACUUUUACUUUGAGGAAAUUAGAGUGUUUCAAGCAGGCACACGCCUUGAAUACAUUAGCAUGGAAUAAUAAGAUAGGACCUCGGUUCUAUUUUGUUGGUUUCUAGAGCUGAGGUAAUGAUUAAGAGGGACAGUUGGGGGCAUUUGUAUUUCGGCGCUAGAGGUGAAAUUCUUAGAUUGCCGAAAGACAAACUGCUGCGAAAGCGUCUGCCAAGGAUGUUUUCAUUGA